ensembl:lncRNA
GCCUAGUGGUUAGAGUGUAGGGGAGGCAGGUAGCCUAGUGGUUAGAGUGUAGAGGAGGCAGGUAGCCUAGUGGUUAGAGUGUAGGGGAGGCAGGUAGCCUAGUGGUUAGAGUGUAGGGGAGGCAGGUAGCCUAGUGGUUAGAGUGUAGGGGAGGCAGGUAGCCUAGUGGUUAGAGUGUAGGGGAGGCAGGUAGACUAGUGGUUAGAGUGUAGGGGAGGCAGGUAGCCUAGUGGUUAGAGUGUAGGGGGAGGCAGGUAGCCUAGUGGUUAGAGUGUAGGGGAGGCGGUAGCAUAGUGGUUAGAGUGUAGGGGAGGCAGGUAGCCUAGUGGUUAGAGUGUAGGGGCGGCAGGUAGCCUAGUGGUUAGAGUGUAGGGGAGGCAGGUAGCCUAGUGGUUAGAGUGUAGGGGAGGCAGGUAGCCUACUGGUUAGAGCGUUGGGCCAGUAACCAAAUGGUUGCUAUAUCGAAUCCCCGAGCUGACAAGGUAAAAAUCUGUCGUUC